GGUAACUCAUCGUUUUUAGUUCUUCACACUGAGGUCUAAUCUCUCUUCCUGGUGACAUCCUCUCAAAUAUUUCCAAAAGCCAUCAUGUCUACUCUGAUUCUGCCAUCUUCUCUUCUUAGGGCUGAACAUUUCCAUUUCCUCAUAUGCAGCUCUGUGACAAGGGAUGAAUGGAACGAUUCCCCAGAGCAUGGACAGCACACGCACGCUUUCAGAAGGUAAGGAGUCACGCCUCAUUGCUUUGUACUUGUUCGUUCCAAACACCUGGCUCCAUUCCACCGCUGCUAGAAACCAGUUCUGAAGAAACCCCAAGCUUUCCAAUAAAUUGUGAUCGAACCAAAACGGAAGCUAUACCAACGGAAUCACAGUGAGCUUCUAGAAUCACAAAAUCUCUGAGCUGAAAGGGUCGUCGGACACCAUCUGGUCCAACCCGUAGAAGGGACUAGAGGAGACCUGUCAGCAGAGUUUGGCUUGUGCAGCUCAGCUGAACAUCUGGAGUAACAAAAUCCUGGCUGGGGGGACUCAGGAUCCCCAAAGCCUACUUCUCUGCCUCUGAGGUUUAGUCAUUUGGGCUAAGCAGACAUGUGGCCAUCUGUAACAGUCAUUUGUUUAACUAUUUAAUUUAUACAGAGCAACCAAGAGCUUAGCUUGCUAGAAUCUAUUAUCAGAUAACGGUGCUGUUUAAUUUUUUUUUUCAUCAGAGAGUAAGUGUGUCUAGGGACAAACCCAGCCUUCCUUAUUCUGAGGAGUUCUGGACCAGGGCGAAUGUAAAAACAACCAUGUUUUUCCUCCACUCUCUUCAGGGUCUUUGUAAAAUAAUAAAUGCGAGGAAUUUCUGCUGAGUCUUAUUUUAGGCAGAUCUCCAAGAAGGUUGAGUGAAUUCAAGGAUAUUCCCUUUAUACUUAAACCUCCACCAUCAUCACUAACUGUUACUGAGUGUCUACUGGGCGUUUG